GGGGCAUCACGGAAAAGCUUGCUUUUCUGGUGGCGACCGGCGCACGGGUGCGGAACGCGUAUGGAACCUGCCCCUGUCAGGGGAAUAGCCCAGGGAAACUUGGAUUAAUGCCCCAUGGUACCGCGAUAUCGCAUGAUAUUGCGGUUAAAGAUUUAUCGGACAGGGAUGGCCAUGCGUACCAUUAGUUAGUUGGUGGGGUAACGGCCCACCAAGGCAGCGAUGGUUAGGGGCCCUGAGAGGGGGAUCCCCCACACUGGUACUGAGACACGGACCAGACUCCUACGGGAGGCAGCAGUGAGGAAUAUUGGACAAUGGGCGGGAGCCUGAUCCAGCCAUGCCGCGUGCAGGAUGACGGCCCUAUGGGUUGUAAACUGCUUUUAUACGGGAAGAAAUGCGCCCACGUGUGGGCGUCUGACGGUACCGUAAGAAUAAGGACCGGCUAACUCCGUGCCAGCAGCCGCGGUAAUACGGAGGGUCCGAGCGUUAUCCGGAAUCAUUGGGUUUAAAGGGUCCGUAGGCGGGCCUGUAAGUCAGGGGUGAAAGUUUGUGGCUCAACCAUAAAAUUGCCUUUGAUACUGCAGGUCUUGAGUCAUGGUGGGGUCGCCGGAACAUGUGGUGUAGCGGUGAAAUGCAUAGAUAUCACAUAGAACACCGAUCGCGAAGGCAGGUGGCCAACCAUGUACUGACGCUGAUGGACGAAAGCGUGGGUAGCGAACGGGAUUAGAUACCCCGGUAGUCCACGCCGUAAACGAUGGAUACUAGCUGUGGGGACUUCGGUCUCCGUGGCCAAGCGAAUGUGA
rnacentral:rRNA from 1 species